rnacentral:rRNA from 1 species
ACCGUAGGAUCCGAGCGUUGUCCGGAAUCACUGGGUGUAAAGGGUGCGUAGGUGGGCUUGCGCGUCAAGGGUUAAAGACCUCGGCUCAACCGAGGGAAUGCCCUUGAUACGGCAGGUCUUGAGUGCGGGAGAGGAUGGUGGAAUUCCUGGUGUAGCGGGGAAAUGCGUAGAGAUCAGGAGGAACACCGAAGGCGAAGGCAGCCAUCUGGACCGCCACUGACGCUGAGGCACGAAAGCGUGGGGAGAAAACAGG